AUGGGAGUCGUGGCCCCAGGCACCCAGCAGGGGCGCCAGGGUCGCCGGCAGGACAGGAGAAGGCGCAGGUCCCUGCUCCCGGGGGAGGGGCCCGGGCGGUGGAGACCCCGACGGGUGCAGGGAGGGAGGCGGCCUCCCGGGUCCCUCACUUGCCCAUGCUCUGGUGGGCCCGCGGCCUCCCGCAGUGCAACGGCCCCUUCCUGGCGGCGGAGGCGGCGGCGGCGGCUCCCUGGCCUGCGGGGCUCGGGGCAGGCUGACCUGGACUUUCUGGCCGCUGCGACGGCGGGUCCCCAGGCCCGCGGGGCCAGCCACGUCGAUCCCGCGCCCCGCGCCGGGGCAGGAGCACACGGCAGGCCCAGGGUGCGGCGCGCAGCCGGGCCUCCGGCCGCCAGCCCCGAGUCGGGCCCGAGGACGACAUUCCGCCGGGCUCAGCGGGGCUGGAGGCCGCGCACUCCACGAGCACCUCUGUGUCCUUUCCCAGCUCCACCGCCCGCUCGACGCAUGGGGAAGACUCCCUUCCUCAACCAGAGCCCGCCCCGCGCUGACAGAAGCGGGCGCACAGCGUGCAAGCGGUGUGCCACACCCCGCCUGUGGCGCCCGAGAGCCCCCAGACUCCUCCCGGGGACCGGUUUUCCAGGCAGGGCCACAGGAAGAGGGGAGCAAGGCGGUGGGGCAAGGACCCCGGCGACUGUGUGGGAGAUGGCAAUGGUCAGGGUGCUCAGGAGGGUCGUGCUUCCACGCAGGGGGCCGACGUGUGUCCAAACGCACUCGUCGGAACUCUGCAGGUGGAGGCGGGUCCCCACGUACCUUGGCCCUCCGAGUGUUCUCCAAGCCGGCUCGGAACAUCCCCGGCUGCAGGACAGGAGGGAGCAUGGGAGGCGCUUGGAGGCAGACAGAGCCCUGGGUCAUUUCUGCCCACACGCGCUGCCACGCGCACAGGUGGCGGUGGUGUGGGGAUGGCGGCCUUCAGCGCGGCGGUCCUGGCGGGCAGCCCCAGGGGGCAGGAGGGCCGCCUGGUCCCCGGGGGCGGCACUGAAGCAGAGGGGGAAGGGGGCCCACCGCCAUGGUGGGAAGCCCUGGGGAUGA
rnacentral:lncRNA from 1 species